CAAACCUAACCUUAAUGCACAGCACAGCACAGAAUUCAGAAACUUUAUCAUUAUCCAAUAGCAAUGGAGACAAUUGUGUUGUUUUCAGAAUGAGAGGCAAGUCCAAGAGCAUCGUUAAUCAUCAUAGGUUCACUGUUGGACUUGCGUUUCAUUCCCAAAACAACGGCUUCAAGACUCUUGAGACUACUUGAUCUGUUAGUCACAUAUAUGGCUACACUUUUUUUUAGUCCAAGACUCGGCCACAUAUGGGUGAUGAAAGAAUAUGGUGUGGCCGAGUCUUGAACUAAAAAGAAGUGUAUACCAAUGGUAGGAGUUGCAAGCAUCUUUGGCUGCAUCAUCAAUGGGAAACUUCGGAUCCACAAGUGUAGCUAUCGUCAGGUGUUCAAGAACAUGCUCUGGAGUAGUGCUAGUACGAGACAACAGAGACUCGGUCAGUCAUUGUGGUUUUGAGUGAGAAGCUGUGGCGCCAAGGAGACCAGCAUGUAGCAAAAGCUUUGUUAAUUCUUACAAUUUUAGGGUGAUUCUAUACGACAAACGUUGGUUCUCUCUUCUUCUUCGCAGUGUCUCUCGCACGCAGGGCAUAUUUUGGAUGAAGCCAGCGCUGGAUCCUCUAAGAGUAAUUUAUUUUUUUGUGUUACUAAAUAUAGUAACGAAGCUGCUCAGAGUUAUUUGGUUUUUUUUCUGUUACUAAACAUAGUAAUAAAGCUGCUCAUGAGCUAAUUGCAAAAGGCAUACAUGAUUGUGUCAUUUGGAUUGAGGAUAUACCUGUCUAGAUUGUAGAAAAAGUCAUUGAUGAAUAACACCGUAAAUAGCAACUUUAAUUUAUAUGUUAA